rnacentral:rRNA from 1 species
GACGAACGCUGGCGGCGUGCUUAACACAUGCAAGUCGAACGGUGAAGCGCCUUCCUUUUUGGUGGGUGUGGAUGAGUGGCGAACGGGUGAGUAACACGUGAGUAACCUGCCCCCUUCUUCUGGAUAACCGCAUGAAAGUGUGGCUAAUACGGGAUAUUCUGGGUCUGUCGCAUGAUGGGUCUGGGAAAGAUAUUGUUUCGGUGGGGGAUGGGCUCGCGGCCUAUCAGCUUGUUGGUGGGGUGAUGGCCUACCAAGGCGGUGACGGGUAGCCGGCCUGAGAGGGUGGACGGUCACACUGGGACUGAGACACGGCCCAGACUCCUACGGGAGGCAGCGGUGGGGAAUAUUGCACAAUGGGCGCAAGCCUGAGGCAGCGACGCCGCGUGAGGGAUGGAGGCCUUCGGGUGGUGAACCUCUUUCGCCAGUGAAGCAGGCCUGCCUCGUUUGUGGGUGGGUUGACGGUAGCUGGAUAAGAAGCGCCGGCUAACUACGU